rnacentral:rRNA from 1 species
GACGAACGCUGGCGGCGUGCUUAACACAUGCAAGUCGAACGGAAAGGCCCUGCUUUUGUGGGGUGCCCGAGUGGCGAACGGGGGAGUAACACGUGAGCAACCUGCCCUUGACUUUCGGAUAACUUCAGGAAACUGGGGCUAAUACCAUAUAGGAGCUCCUGCUGCAUGGAGGGGGGUGGAAAGUUUCGGCGGUCGGGGAUGGAUGGGCGGCUUAUCAGCUUGUUGGUGGGGUAGUGGCUGACCCAGUAUUUGACCGGUAGCCGGCCUGGGAGGGUGGCCGGGCACCUGGGUACUACGGUACGGCGCAGACGGCAACGGUGGGCAGCAGUGGGGAAUCUUGCACAGUGGGCGGAAGCCGGAUGCAGCAACGCCGCGUUCGGGAUGACGGCCUGCGGGGUGAAAACCGCUGUCGCCUAUGACGAAGCGGGAGUGACGGUAAUGGGUAAAGAAGCACCGGCUAACUACGUG